UACGUAGGGUGCGAGCGUGGUCCGGAAUUACUGGGCGUAAAGAGCUCGUAGGUGGUUUGUCGCGUUGUUCGUGAAAACCGGGGGCUUAACCCUCGGCGUGCGGGCGAUACGGGCAGACUUGAGUACUGCAGGGGAGACUGGAAUUCCUGGUGUAGCGGUGGAAUGCGCAGAUAUCAGGAGGAACACCGGUGGCGAAGGCGGGUCUCUGGGCAGUAACUGACGCUGAGGAGCGAAAGCGUGGGGAGCAAACAGG
rnacentral:rRNA from 1 species